GCAGCUUGUUGGACGAUCGCCCGUUGUUUCAUCGAUGGGAGGAAAGUCCGGGCAGCAUAGGACAUGACAGUUGCUAACGGCAACCGGGGGUGACCCUAGGGAAAGUGCCACAGAAACAAAACUACCCCGACAUUAGUUGGGGCAAAGGUGAAACGAGUGGGGUAAGAGCCCACAGCGUCGUCUGGUGACAGGCGAGGAAGGUAAACCCUGUUAGCUGCAAGGAGAUCUGCAUAAGGGGCGGUCCGUCCGCAGGUCGAUAUCCGCUUGAUUUCAUGGGAAACUGUGAAACUAGAUAGAUGAUCGUCUCCGCUUAUAGCGGUACAGAACCCGGCUUAUCGACAAGCUGUAUUU
rnacentral:RNase_P_RNA from 1 species